GAUGAACGCUCGCGGGAGGCCUAACACAUGCAAGCCGAGCGGUAGAGUCUCUUCGGAGCCUUGAGAGCGGCGCACGGGUGCGGAACACGUGUGCAACCUGCCUUUAUCUGGGGGAUAGCCUUUCGAAGGGAAGAUUAAUACCCCAUAAUAUACUGGAUGGCAUCAUCUGGUAUUGAAAACUCCGGUGGAUAGAGAUGGGCACGCGCAAGAUUAGAUAGUUGGUGAGGUAACGGCUCACCAAGUCAGCGAUCUUUAGGGGGCCUGAGAGGGUGAUCCCCCACACUGGUACUGAGACACGGACCAGACUCCUACGGGAGGCAGCAGUGAGGAAUAUUGGACAAUGGGUGAGAGCCUGAUCCAGCCAUCCCGCGUGAAGGACGACGGCCCUAUGGGUUGUAAACUUCUUUUGUAUAGGGAUAAACCUAGAUACGUGUAUCUAGCUGAAGGUACUAUACGAAUAAGCACCGGCUAACUCCGU
rnacentral:rRNA from 1 species